rnacentral:rRNA from 1 species
UACGGGAGGCAGCAGUGAGGAAUAUUGGUCAAUGGACGCAAGUCUGAACCAGCCAAGUAGCGUGCAGGAUGACGGCCCUAUGGGUUGUAAACUGCUUUUGUCAGGGGAUAAAGUCAGUCACGUGUGACUGUUUGCAGGUACCUGACGAAUAAGGACCGGCUAAUUCCGUGCCAGCAGCCGCGGUAAU